ACAUUUGUCUGGUACAGGAAAUACCAUGAUGAAGAACAUGGCUUUCUCUGGAAGAGCUCCCUCCAUUGCGCUUCUGAUGCCCUGACCUCUGAAAAUCCUCCCGAUUUGAGAAACUGCACUGCAGAAUUGGUCAUUGUGGGGGACUUUAAAUUUUCCCCCC
ensembl:snRNA U1 U1 spliceosomal RNA